ACGGGAGGCAGCAGUGGGGAAUAUUGCACAAUGGGGGAAACCCUGAUGCAGCGACGCCGCGUGGGUGAAGAAGUUUUUCGGAAUGUAAAGCCCUAUCAGCAGGGAAGAUAAUGACGGUACCUGACUAAGAAGCCCCGGCUAACUACGUGCCAGCAGCCGCGGUAAUACGUAGGGGGCAAGCGUUAUCCGGAUUUAUUGGGUUUAAAGGGAGCGCAGGCGGAGAUGCAAGCCAGCCGUCAAAUCGUGGUGCUCAACGCCAUCCAGCGGUUGGAACUGCAUCCCUUGAGUGCACUAGAGGAAGGUGGAAUUCGUGGUGUAGCGGUGAAAUGCAUAGAUAUCACGAAGAACUCCGAUUGCGAAGGCAGCCUUCUGGGGUGUUACUGACGCUCAUGCUCGAAGGUGCGGGUAUCAAACAGGAUUAGAUACCCUGGUA
rnacentral:rRNA from 1 species